AGUAGAAUUGCUGGAUCAUAUGCAAAAUCUGUUUAUAUUUUUGAGAAACUGCCAUGCUGUUUUCCACAGUGGCUAAACCAUUUUACAUUCCCACCAGCCAU
rnacentral:pre_miRNA from 1 species